UACGGGGGGGGGCAAGCGUUGUUCGGAAUUACUGGGCGUAAAGGGCUCGUAGGCGGCCAACUAAGUCAGACGUGAAAUCCCUCGGCUUAACCGGGGAACUGCGUCUGAUACUGGAUGGCUUGAAUCCGGGAGAGGGAUGCGGAAUUCCAGGUGUAGCGGUGAAAUGCGUAGAUAUCUGGAGGAAUACCGAUGGCGAAGGCAGCCCCCUGGGAUAACACUGACGCUCAUGCACGAAAGCGUGGGGAGCAAACAGG
rnacentral:rRNA from 1 species